rnacentral:lncRNA from 1 species
AUGCAUCUCCCUCUUGCCUUGCCCAUCCCACUCAUCCUUUUCCUGAUCAUCUCUGGCCUCACGCAAUCGCCAUUGGUACUGCCCCUUUGGUCCUCAUACACCAGCAAGUGGAAUCUUCCUCCACCUUGGGGCCACCUGUCCUCUCGUUGGCUCAGUCCUACAAGAUCCCAUCCAUUCCUCUCCUCUGAGCUUUGCCCACCCUGCCUCAAGCCCCACCCCUCUCUGACUCAGCCCCACCUCUGUCUCCCCUCAGUUCUCAGGGCUGUGCCUGGAGCUCCAGCCCUCCGUGCACCUGCUCACCCUGGCCCGCUGGGGCCCACAGACGCUGCUGCUGCGCUUGGAGCACCAGUUUGCCAGUGGGGAGGACUCGGGCCGCAACUUGAGCUCCCCUGUGACCUUGGAUUUACAGAACCUGUUCUCCACCUUCACCAUCACCUGCCUGCAGGAGACCACGCUGGUGGCCAACCAGCCCCGGGCCAGCGCCUCCAGGCUCCAGUGGACCCCAGACACCGGUGGGCACCUAUCAUGGGAGGGAUGGGCUCCUGUCUGGGGCUGGCAGCUGGGGGCAGUGUAUGAGGCAUGGGAAUGUGGGCCAGGAUCUAGUAUAGAACUUGAAGACCCUGGGCAGAUCCAGGCUCGGGGCUUCAAGGUCCAAAGUGGGUUUAGGAAGCUGGCAAUAGAACAUGAGGGGUCGGCCUUUGGUCCUGGGAGCAAGAUUUGAGGAUC